rnacentral:rRNA from 1 species
UACGUAGGGCGCGAGCGUUGUCCGGAAUUAUUGGGCGUAAAGAGCGUGUAGGCGGCUUGGUAAGUCCGCUGUGAAAGUCCAGGGCUCAACCCUGGAAAGCCGGUGGAAACUGUCAAGCUUGAGUCCGGAAGAGGCGAGUGGAAUUCCUGGUGUAGCGGUGAAAUGCGCAGAUAUCAGGAGGAACACCAAUGGCGAAGGCAGCUCGCUGGGACGGUACUGACGCUGAGACGCGAAAGCGUGGGGAGCAAACAGG